UACGUAGGCAGCGAGCGUUGUUCGGAGUUACUGGGCGUAAAGGGUGUGUAGGCGGUUGUUUAAGUUUGGGGUGAAAUCUCCCGGCUCAACUGGGAGGGUGCGCCGAAUACUGAAUGACUUGGAGUGCGGGAGAGGAGAGUGGAAUUCCUGGUGUAGCGGUGAAAUGCGUAGAUAUCAGGAGGAACACCGGUGGUGUAGACGGCUCUCUGGACCGUAACUGACGCUGAGACACGAAAGCGUGGGUAGCAAACAGG
rnacentral:rRNA from 1 species